rnacentral:siRNA from 1 species
ACGGAUCGCAUGGCCUCUGUGCU